GGUUGGAUAGCAUAGUGGUAAUGUUUUGGAUUGCAAAUCCUAUAAGGAAGGUUCGAUUCCUUCUCCAGCC
rnacentral:tRNA from 1 species